rnacentral:rRNA from 1 species
AUGAGUAGGGCGGGACACGUGGUAUCCUGUCUGAAUAUGGGGGGACCAUCCUCCAAGGCUAAAUACUCCUGACUGACCGAUAGUGAACCAGUACCGUGAGGGAAAGGCGAAAAGAACCCCGGCGAGGGGAGUGAAAAAGAACCUGAAACCGUGUACGUACAAGCAGUGGGAGCACGCUUAGGCGUGUGACUGCGUACCUUUUGUAUAAUGGGUCAGCGACUUAUAUUCUGUAGCAAGGUUAACCGAAUAGGGGAGCCGAAGGGAAACCGAGUCUUAACUGGGCGUUAAGUUGCAGGGUAUAGACCCGAAACCCGGUGAUCUAGCCAUGGGCAGGUUGAAGGUUGGGUAACACUAACUGGAGGACCGAACCGACUAAUGUUGAAAAAUUAGCGGAUGACUUGUGGCUGGGGGUGAAAGGCCAAUCAAACCGGGAGAUAGCUGGUUCUCCCCGAAAGCUAUUUAGGUAGCGCCUCGUGAAUUCAUCUCCGGGGGUAGAGCACUGUUUCGGCAAGGGGGUCAUCCCGACUUACCAACCCGAUGCAAACUGCGAAUACCGGAGAAUGUUAUCACGGGAGACACACGGCGGGUGCUAACGUCCGUCGUGAAGAGGGAAACAACCCAGACCGCCAGCUAAGGUCCCAAAGUCAUGGUUAAGUGGGAAACGAUGUGGGAAGGCCCAGACAGCCAGGAUGUUGGCUUAGAAGCAGCCAUCAUUUAAAGAAAGCGUAAUAGCUCACUGGUCGAGUCGGCCUGCGCGGAAGAUGUAACGGGGCUAAACCAUGCAC